UACGAAGGGGGCGAGCGUUGUUCGGAUUUACUGGGCGUAAAGGGCGCGCAGGCGGUCUUGAAAGUCAGGCGUGAAAGCCCCGGGCUUAACCUGGGAAUUGCGCUUGAUACUCUGAGACUGGAGUACGGGAGAGGAGAGUGGAAUUCCCAGUGUAGAGGAGAAAUUCGUAGAUAUUGGGAAGAACACCAGUGGCGAAGGCGGCUCUCUGGACCGUAACUGACGCUGAGGCGCGAAAGCGUGGGGAGCAAACAGG
rnacentral:rRNA from 1 species